GGUGCAUUGUAGUUGCAUUGCACGUCGUGUCGGGCCGUGCAAUGUUCCCGCAGUGCAUCCCGGAGGC
rnacentral:pre_miRNA from 1 species